ACGCACGCUGGCGGCGUGCUUAACACCUGCACGUCGCACGGAAAGGCCCUGCUUUUGUGGGGUGCUCGAGUGGCGAACGGGUGAGUAACACGUGAGUAACCUGCCCUUGACUUUGGGAUAACUUCAGGAAACUGGGGCUAAUACCGGAUAGGAGCUCCUGCUGCAUGGUGGGGGUUGGAAAGUUUCGGCGGUUGGGGAUGGACUCGCGGCUUAUCAGCUUGUUGGUGGGGUAGUGGCUUACCAAGGCUUUGACGGGUAGCCGGCCUGAGAGGGUGACCGGCCACAUUGGGACUGAGAUACGGCCCAGACUCCUACGGGAGGCAGCAGUGGGGAAUAUUGCACAAUGGGCGGAAGCCUGAUGCAGCAACGCCGCGUGCGGGAUGAAGGCCUUCGGGUUGUAAACCGCUUUCGCCUGUGACGAAGCGUGAGUGACGGUAAUGGGUAAAGAAGCACCGGCUAACUACGUG
rnacentral:rRNA from 1 species